UGUAUUGUUUGUCACGCAAAUUAAACUGUCGGGGUUUUUUCCCCCAGAAGCGGCUUGACGGAGUUAAACGGGUUACGCUGGUAAGGGCAGACCAGGCGAGUUCCAGGGCGUUUACACCGAAGCAGUUUACCCAGGAUUUAUCCAUAAUUGAUUAUUUCAGGGCAGAUUCAUCUAGGAGGUUGUAGGUAAGGUAUGGGAUGUGUUUCAGCCUCUGUUGUUUGGGCUGAUUGGAGCUGAAAUCCGGGUCGGUGCUCUAGAGCCUAUCACAGUGGCUCUGUGUCUGGCCACUCUCAGCAUUGCCCUGAGUGUGAAGAUCUUCUUCACCUUCCUCAUGGUGCUCUGCGCUGGAUUUAAUUUGAAAGAGAAGAUCUUCAUCGCUCUGGCCUGGAUGCCUAAAGCCACUGUUCAGGUCACCUUCACUUAAAGCCUCGUUACAUACAGCUUAUAACCUGUUUACGACACA